GUGCUAGCCAGCGCUAUAGCACCUCAUCGUUGAGCAGAUUUCAGUCGGUAGGAGGACAAAAUGCGUAAUUUUCCUCCACAUACGCUUUUUCAAGUAUAUCUCGAAGUGCACUAUAGUGCAUUUUGCCUGAUGGCAUCCAUCUCAAAGGCCCAGUUGGCACCCCUGCCACGGACAGAGGUCUUUGUGUAUUGGGUCCUUUCCUUGGGCUCUCAUCUGUACUCUUUCUAUCAAUUGCACAGGUUCAGCAAAGAGCAUGAAGUGGGCAUAGAGAGAGAGUUCCAGUUGGAAAAGGGCCUUCUUAAGGGUUUUAAAAGGGACCCUUUAGACUUCGAGUGGAAUUUCUGGACUGAGUGGGCUAAGAAAUCUUUACUGUGGACUCUGAUUGGUCAUGGUGCUUUAUCAAGAUUGACCAGCAUCUUUUACCCCAAGCUUAGAGUGCCAGCACUUGCGAUAUAUGGCUUCUUAGCAGCCAGCAGUGUGUUGGGGAUUAAAGGUGUCAGUGUGCUGCUGGUACAUCUGGGUUUGUCCUUUGCUGUGGCCUGGCUGCGAAAGCCCUCUCUGUCAUGGGCAUGUAACCUGCUGUUGCUCUACACACCUCACAUCAAGGCACUUCAAGAGAUCCAGAGAGGCUGGUAUGAGACUGAUGAGGAGCACUAUCUGCUGCUCUUCAGUGUUGCCGUUUGUGGUCUGCGCUUCAUCAGCUUCAGCCUGGAGCAUUGCUGGAGUCCUGAAGACCGUGGUGGAGUUGUGCAGCUUUGCUGGCUGUUUUCAUACACCUUUUAUCAUCCUUUUUUCUACAAUGGACCCAUUGUCACCUACAAAAACUAUAUUGAGGAGAUGCGGAAGUCUGCUGAGGAAAGCAGCAGGGAUGAAUCUGCUCUUAGUUACUUGGUGCUCAGAGUAGGACGGAUCAUUUUGUGGUGGUGUAUUGCAGAAUACAUGAUCCAUGUCAUGUACAUGCACUCCAUCCAGUCUAAUGAGACCUACAUAGAAAUUCUUCCUCCCUGGGCCUUAGGUGGUCUUGCUCUGGCUGUGGUCCAGUUCUUCUACGUGAAGUACCUGGUACUGUUUGGGCUUCCAUCCAUGCUCGCUACUUUGGAUAAGCUGGUUCCCCCAAAUCUUCCCCAUUGUGUCAGCAUCAUGUACAGUUUCACAGGCAUGUGGAGGCAGUUUGAUGAGGGGCUGUAUCGAUGGCUCAUCAGAUACAUUUAUGUGCCGCUGGGAGGUUCACGCCAUGGUCCUCUUUACAAGAUGGUAUCCACUGGCAUUGCGUUUGGAUUCGUCUGCCUCUGGCACGGCGGCCACGACUUCUUACAGUACUGGGCCUUGAUGAAUUGGGCUGGAGUUCUGGUGGAAAAUUCAGUGAAGUCUCUCUUUGCCUCAACCUUUAUUCACUCCAUAGUUGAGCAGAAUUUCUCCGCGGUGAUGAAAAGGCGCUGCGUUGCCCUUGUCUUUGCCUUCUCCACUGCUAUGCUCAUCCUUUCUAAUCUGGUGUUCCUUGGGGGAAUACAUGUUGGCAGAAUCUUCUGGAAACGUGUCUUCAUUCACGGCAGAGGUCAUACAGAAUAAAGCAAGCUGUGAGGCAAAGAAUCCAGAAGAGGCAAAAGGCUAAACCCAAAAAACAAAAGGGGUCAACCACAAAAAGAUAAAAAAUGAACAAGAGGAAAAUGCUGUGAAGCCUGACUGACAGGAACAAGACAAUCUGGCAGAGAUCAACAAAUAAAUACUGGCUGGUCUACCAUGGCCCCACCAAUGAUAGCUUUCCUCUACUGCUAUGCUCAGAUUGGACUUGAGUGGACUCCUCACCCACCGUGAGUCACCUUGACUUUAUAACAGGGACUGAGAAUCCCUACUACUGGACAGCUACAGCAACCUGCUGACUCCAGUGCCUUGUCCUCACCGGCCAGAGUCUCACUGUGGUGAAUCUGGCUCAUAGCCAGUCCAAACCUGGCUGAAGUGCCGCUGAGCAGUCAGUUUCUAAAACCUGCAGGACUGCACAAAAUCUGCCUGUAAGCUUAUACCCACUGAGAAAGUUUUCUGUACUUUGGGUGAAAUGUAAGUGCACACAAACUGUAAUAAAAUGUUGCAAAUUCAGGGCAGUCUCUAACAGCAGCCCUAGGCAGUAAGCUAUACUCACUGUUAUUCUAAGAAACUGUAAAAGAAAUGUGGAAUCUGUGUGAAUCUGUCUUGGUUAUAUGACUGUGUCAAGAAAUUGCUCAGAGUUGCAGCAAGCUGGAGAAAGUAUUUAUUGUCCUCUUGUAGCUUGCCACAAAAAAGACAUUCAGAGGUAGACUGUGGACAAAAAAAAAUCAAAGGCUGAGUAUAGAGCUGCAGAAUACAAAUUUAAUUUGGGCAAAGCAGAAACACACUAAUAAUUUAAGUUAAUUAAUUUGUGUCUUUUGUUUCAAAGCGCUAACAUUGUUGAUUACCAAUUUAUUACAGCUGAGAUAUAAUAAAUGACAAGCUAUAUUUUUACAUUUUGGCUCAUUUGUUGUUACACAGUGCAUCACCUUGUAUUUUCAAAUUGUCAACAUCACAGCUAAAUUUAGCCAAAAGUAAAAUCUCAUUUUGGUGCAAAACUCAUUUCCCAUCUGUCCAAAUCUGUCAAAUACUUGGUCAUCAAGGACUGUCAGAAUGUGUCUGCUGAUUCACAGCAAUGUGAUUAACACUGUGGGUUAUGAAACAGCAGAUGAGUCCAGUUCAUUUGUUCUUUACUGUAAAGCUUUUAUUGCCGGGGAUGUUAGCAGGUCAUAGGUUGAUUAGACAGGUGAUAGUGACACUGCUGAAUAAUAUACUGAAGAGUUUAUUUAGAAGUUGGUGUACACAAUGCUGACUGACUAGUAAAACUGUGGAUUUUUUAAAAUGUAUUUAUGGAUUUUUAAAAUCAGGGUUAUCAAGCCACUUUUGAAUUUUACGUUUUCCUCAAGAUAUACAUUACCAGAUUAAAUAUCAUUGUAUUUAUUCAAUAUUCAGUUUAUUGAUUGCAAAAACAGAUGUUAUACAUAUUAAGAAAGUUUAGCCUCAUAUACACUGAGUGACAAUCACAUGUUCAACUGCUGGUUAA